GACGAACGCUGGCGGCGUGCCUAAUACAUGCAAGUAGAACGCACAGUUUAUACCGUAGCUUGCUACACCAUAGACUGUGAGUUGCGAACGGGUGAGUAACGCGUAGGUAACCUGCCUGGUAGCGGGGGAUAACUAUUGGAAACGAUAGCUAAUACCGCAUAAUAUUAAUUAUUGCAUGAUAAUUAAUUGAAAGGUGCAAUUGCACCACUACCAGAUGGACCUGCGUUGUAUUAGCUAGUAGGUGAGGUAACGGCUCACCUAGGCGACGAUACAUAGCCGACCUGAGAGGGUGAUCGGCCCCACUGGGACUGAGACACGGCCCAGACUCCUACGGGAGGCAGCAGUAGGGAAUCUUCGGCAAUGGACGAAAGUCUGACCGAGCAACGCCGCGUGAGUGACGAAGGUUUUCGGAUCGUAAAGCUCUGUUGUAAGAGAAGAACGGGUGUGAGAGUGGAAAGUUCACACUGUGACGGUAUCUUACCAGAAAGGGACGGCUAACUACGUG
rnacentral:rRNA from 1 species